GAGAGAGAGGGAGUGAAACAGAGAAAGAGAAGAGAGAGAAGAGAGAGAAAGAAGAGGGAGGGAGUGAAACAGAGAAAGAGAAGAGAGAGAAGAGAGAGAAGAGGGAGGGAGUGAAACAGAGAGAGAAGAGAGAGAAGAGAGAGAGAGGGAGUGAAACAGAGAAAGAGAAGAGAGAGAAGAGAGAGAAGAGAGAGAGAGGGAGAGAAACAGAGAAAGAAGAGAGAGAAGAGAGAGAAGAGGGAGUGAAACAGAGAAAGAGAAGAGAGAAGAGGGA
ensembl:lncRNA